rnacentral:piRNA from 1 species
UCAACAGAUGUUGGCCUCUUGUCUGCAA